CCUACGGGUGGCAGCAGUGAGGAAUAUUGGUCAAUGGGCGCGAGCCUGAACCAGCCAAGUAGCGUGAAGGAUGACUGCCCUAGGGGUUGUAAACUUCUGUUAUAUGGGAAUAAAGUGCAGUAGGUAGAAGGCUGUGCAUGUACCUGAUGAAUAAGGAUCGGCUAACACCGUGCCAGCAGCCGCGGUAAUACGGAGGAUCCGAGCGUUAUCCGGAUUUAUUGGGUUUAAAGGGAGCGGAGGCGGGUUGUUAAGUCAGUUGGGAAAGUUUGCGGCUCAACCGUAAAAUUGCAGUUGAUACUGGCCUCCUUGAGUCCAGUUGAGUUAGGCGGCAUUCGUUGUGUAGCGGUGCCAUGCUUUGCUAUCACG
rnacentral:rRNA from 1 species